UGGGGAAUAUUGCACAAUGGGCGCAAGCCUGAUGCAGCCAUGCCGCGUGUGUGAAGAAGGCCUUCGGGUUGUAAAGCACUUUCAGCGAGGAGGAAGGUGGUGAGCUUAAUACGCUCAUCAAUUGACGUUACUCGCAGAAGAAGCACCGGCUAACUCCGUGCCAGCAGCCGCGGUAAUACGGAGGGUGCAAGCGUUAAUCGGAAUUACUGGGCGUAAAGCGCACGCAGGCGGUUUGUUAAGUCAGAUGUGAAAUCCCCGGGCUCAACCUGGGAACUGCAUUUGAAACUGGCAAGCUAGAGUCUCGUAGAGGGGGGUAGAAUUCCAGGUGUAGCGGUGAAAUGCGUAGAGAUCUGGAGGAAUACCGGUGGCGAAGGCGGCCCCCUGGACGAAGACUGACGCUCAGGUGCGAAAGCGUGGGGCAGCAAACAGGGUUAGAUACCCUGGUAGUCCACGCUGUAAACGAUGUCGAUUUUGGAGGUUGUGCCCUUGAGGCGUGGCUUCCGGAGCUAACGCGUUAAAUCGACCGCCUGGGGAGUACGGCCGCAAGGUUAAAACUCAAAGGAAUUGACGGGGUC
rnacentral:rRNA from 1 species